UACAGAGGGCGCAAGCGUUGUUCGGAUUCAUUGGGCGUAAAGGGUGCGUAGGCGGCUCGGCAAGUCGGGUGUGAAAUCUCGGAGCUUAACUCCGAAACUGCAUUCGAUACUGCCGUGCUUGAGGACUGGAGAGGAGACUGGAAUUUACGGUGUAGCGGUGAAAUGCGUAGAUAUCGUAAGGAAGACCAGUGGCGAAGGCGGGUCUCUGGACAGUGCCUGACGCUGAGGCACGAAGGCGAGGGGAGCAAACGGG
rnacentral:rRNA from 1 species